CCUACGGGUGGCUGCAGGGGAGAAUAUUGGACAAUGGGGGCAACCCUGAUCCAGCCAUGCCGCGUGUGUGAAGAAGGCCCUCGGGUUGUAAAGCACUUUCAGUGAGGAAGAACGCCUGGUGGUUAAUACCCAUCAGGAAAGACAUCACUCACAGAAGAAGCACCGGCUAACUCCGUGCCAGCAGCCGCGGUAAUACGGAGGGUGCGAGCGUUAAUCGGAAUUACUGGGCGUAAAGCGCGCGUAGGUGGCUUGAUAAGCCGGUUGUGAAAGCCCCGGGCUCAACCUGGGAACGGCAUCCGGAACUGUCAAGCUAGAGUGCAGGAGAGGAAGGUAGAAUUCCCGGUGUAGCGGUGAAAUGCGUAGAGAUCGGGAGGAAUACCAGUGGCGAAGGCGGCCUUCUGGACUGACACUGACACUGAGGUGCGAAAGCGUGGGUAGCAAACAGGAUUAGAUACCCGGGUAGUC
rnacentral:rRNA from 1 species